GGGGGUAUAGCUCAGUGAUAGAGUGAUUGCCUAGCAUGCAUAAGGCCCUGGGUUCCAUUCCCAACACCACAA
rnacentral:tRNA from 1 species